rnacentral:rRNA from 1 species
CCCUUAGAUGUUCUGGGCUGCACGCGCGCUACACUGAAGCGUUCAACGAGUAUUCACCUUGCCCGGGAGGGUUGGGUAAUCUUUUCAAAACGCUUCGUGAUGGGGAUAGAUUAUUGCAAUUAUUAAUCUUCAACGAGGAAUUCCUAGUAAGCGCGAGUCAUCAGCUCGUGCUGAUUACGUCCCUGCCCUUUGUACACACCGCCCGUCGCUCCUACCGAUUGGGUGAUCCGGUGAAUAAUUCGGACUGCAGCAGGCCUGGUCUCCGGGUUUUGCAGCGGAAAGUUUAGUGAACCUUAUCACUUAGAGGAAGGAGAAGUCGUAACA